GUGCGUACGCAAGUCUCGAGUCCUCAGUCAGCAAUGGCACCCACUUCGAAGUCAAAAGCAGCGAGGCGCUGAUCGUUUUGGCAGCGUGUUGGGCAGGACGUGGACAGCCAGCGACACCAAGCGACCUUGCCUCCAACCGAUGCCUGUUACGGAUUUCCUUGCAUCAGUGUCCUGUCAUGGAGCAAUCGUAACCAGCAAACCGAAGACGACGUGGCAGCUCUGCAGAAAUUAAAAUUGAAAUA